UGAACAUAUAUUUUUAUUCGGCUUCUUCUUAAGGUGAAGAUAACUCUUUGUAAAUGUCCCAGAGAAAUACCUUCUGUUCACCCUUUGCAAGUUCCUCUUGGGUGGAUAAUUCCACUACUGACAUUU
ensembl:scaRNA